rnacentral:rRNA from 1 species
AUUGAACGCUGGCGGCAUGCCUUACACAUGCAAGUCGAACGGCAGCACGGGAGCAAUCCUGGUGGCGAGUGGCGAACGGGUGAGUAAAGUAUCGGAACGUGCCCAGUCGUGGGGGAUAACGUAGCGAAAGCUACGCUAAUACCGCAUACGAUCUAUGGAUGAAAGCGGGGGAUCGCAAGACCUCGCGCGAUUGGAGCGGCCGAUAUCAGAUUAGGUAGUUGGUGGGGUAAAGGCCCACCAAGCCGACGAUCUGUAGCUGGGCUGAGAGGACGACCAGUCACACUGGGACUGAGACACGGCACAGACUCCUACGGGAGGCAGCAGUGGGGAAUUUUGGACAAUGGGCGCAAGCCUGAUCCAGCAAUGCCGCGUGCAGGAUGAAGGCCUUCGGGUUGUAAACUGCUUUUGUACGGAGCGAAAAGGCUCGCACUAAUACUGUGGGCUCAUGACGGUACCGUAAGAAUAAGCACCGGCUAACUACGUGCCAGCAGCCGCAGUAA